rnacentral:rRNA from 1 species
GAUGAACGCUGGCGGCGUGCCUAAUACAUGCAAGUCGAGCGAACAGACGAGGAGCUUGCUCCUCUGACGUUAGCGGCGGACGGGUGAGUAACACGUGGAUAACCUACCUAUAAGACUGGGAUAACUUCGGGAAACCGGACCUAAUACCGAAUAAUAUAUUGAACCGCAUGGUUCAAUAUUGAAAGACGGUUUUGCUGUCCUUUAUAAAUGGAUCCGCGCCGCAUUAGCUAUUUGGUAAGGUAACGGCUUACCAAGGCAACGAUGCGUAGCCGACCUGAGAGGGUGAUCGGCCACACUGGAACUGAGACACGGUCCAGACUCCUACGGGAGGCAGCAGUAGGGAAUCUUCCGCAAUGGGCGAAAGCCUGACGGAGCAACGCCGCGUGAGUGAUGAAGGUCUUCGGAUCGUAAAACUCUGUUAUUAGGGAAGAACAAAUGUGUAAGUAACUAUGCACGUCUUGACGGUACCUAAUCAGAAAGCCACGGCUAACUACGUG